GUCGUGAGAUGUUGGGUUAAGUCCCGCAACGAGCGCAACCCCUAUCCCCAGUAGCCAGCAGUCCGGCUGGGCACUCUGAGGAGACUGCCAGGGAUAACCUGGAGGAAGGCGGGGAUGACGUCAAAUCAUCAUGCCCCUUAUGAUUUGGGCUACACACGUGCUACAAUGGCGUAAACAAAGGGAAGCAAGCCUGCGAAGGUAAGCAAAUCCCAAAAAUAACGUCCCAGUUCGGACUGCAGUCUGCAACUCGACUGCACGAAGCUGGAAUCGCUAGUAAUCGCGGAUCAGAAUGCCGCGGUGAAUACGUUCCCGGGUCUUGUACACACCGCCCGUCACACCAUGGGAGUCAGUAACGCCCGAAGUCAGUGACCUAACUGCAAAGAAGGAGCUGCCGAAGGCGGGACCGAUGACUGGGGUGAAGUCGUAACAAGGUAGCCGUAUCGGAAGGUGCGGCUGGAUCACCUCCUUUCUAAGG
rnacentral:rRNA from 1 species